UACAGAGGUCUCAAGCGUUGUUCGGAUUCAUUGGGCGUAAAGGGCGCGUAGGCUGCGGGGCAAGUCGGGUGUGAAAUCUCAGAGCUCAACUCUGAAACUGCACUCGAUACUGCUUUGCUCGAGGACUGGAGAGGAGAUUGGAAUUUACGGUGUAGCAGUGAAAUGCGUAGAUAUCGUAAGGAAGACCGGUGGCGAAGGCGGAUCUCUGGACAGUUACUGACACUGAGGCACGAAGGCCAGGGGAGCAAACGGGG
rnacentral:rRNA from 1 species